rnacentral:rRNA from 1 species
AUGUGCAAACAGAUUUUCCCAUCGGCUCCUUGCGCGUCGCGCGUGAGACGUGUGUUGGGCGUGAACCCUAGCCCCCCAAUCCAGAGCCGCCACACCUUCCCCCUCCUCCUUCCCUCGUCCGCCGCCGCACUCCCUCCCUCCUCCCUCGUCGCCACACCCUCCGCCCUAGCACCGCGCGCUCGUUCUGUCGUCUCAUAUACCAUCGCUGCCGGCCCCUGCCAUGGUGUCGCGGCGCUCUUCCUGCGCCCUCGCGUCCGACCUCACCAGGUCCUCGAUCUCGGCCUCAUCGGCUUGCUGCGGCGGCCGCUCUCGACGCCGUCCUUGCGACACGACAGCGGCAAACCCGAGCGGUGA